rnacentral:lncRNA from 1 species
GCCCGCGGCGAGCGGGAAGGAGGCGUGUGCCUGCGGCGCGGCCCCGAGGCGUGUGCGCGGCCAUGUGCGCUUAGCGCAGCGCGCUCUUACCUCAGUACCCCGGCCGCGACCCUCCGAGCCCCUGGAGCCCGGGUAAAGUGAACAGAGUUAUCUGUGACAUUCCAUCAGGCACCUAUGUAACGAAAUCAUACCGUAAUAACUCACCAUGGCGUAUGGAGUGCCAAGAAAGAACACAGUGAAAACCAUUUUGCGGGGCAGUUGUUAUAAUGUACAGGAACCUUGGGAUAUUGCAUUGCUUGCAAAGACCUGGUCCACAAACCUAGCCAAUAUCAAGUUGCCUUUCUUGGAAGAAAUUUCAUUUGGUGGUUCUGUGCAGCUCACAAAAUGUACCACCAUUAAAGAUGGACUGCUCCCUUCUGCAGAAUCUAUCAAACUCGAAAGGGAGUAU